rnacentral:rRNA from 1 species
GACAGAGGGGGCAAGCGUUGCUCGGAAUUACUGGGCGUAAAGGGCGCGUAGGCGGGAUGGCAAGUCGGUCGUGAAAUCCCUCGGCUCAACUGAGGAUCGUCGAUCGAUACUGCUGUUCUUGAGGAUUGCAGAGGAGACUGGAAUUCCCGGUGUAGCGGUGAAAUGUGUAGAUAUCAGGAGGAACACCGGUGGUGUAAACGGCUUUCUGGACCAUAACUGACGCUGGAGGCACGAAAGCGUGGGGAGCGAACAGG